GCGCCGUUCCUCCUGCAGAUCGAGAAGGAUGGAUAUAUCAUGAGCAAACAUCACCGCUUCCCUUCCUCCAUGCGCCGCCGCUCCAUCCUUCCCCUCCUCCUCGCGCCGCCCCUCUUUCUACCGUCACCACCCCCCAUCGGCGCCCUCCGCAGCCUAGCUGAGCCCCUUCGCCCGUGGACGUGUUCCGGCGUCAUCCCGCUACAGGUUGUCGUACCUCUGGAGGUGCGGAGUGGUGGUGGAGGCGAGAGGAGAGGCGCAGGAUCUUGGCCUUGAUGUCACCGAUUUUGACGUGGGCGGUGUCUUGCUCGCGUCCGGGUGUGGGUGGUUCGUGCCAUCACCGUACCACCAACAAGGAUGACACCAGACACCUGAUGGCCUCUCCCUGAGAACCGUCUUUGCUUCGCCGAUGUAUCCCACCUGCGCCCAAUGUUGAGGUCUUGAGGGUGUGAUUCCUAGUGAGAAGGACCGCCGUCAGGCCACAAUGGACUUCACACCUCCCAUUUUCUACUGUUCUCGCAUGCACGUACUGUUACCUAGAGCAGAAAGCAUAUAGAGAUUAUAUUAGUAUAGAUGUAUAGAAGUCAUGAUGAUGGACUAAGAUAAUUCUGUUGCACAAUACUAUGCACUGAGAUUCAGUCAUGGCAUUUCUUGUCAGUAUCGCAUGAACAUGAUAGAGACUGAUCAAAUAAAUGGCACUUGAUUUCAUCUACUUAUAUUCUUCAGGGAAUGUAAGCAAGCGGUGCAUGGAAGCUGAUACUUGCAAUCUGUUUGCGGAAUCUGGCAGUGUUUCAGUCCAAGAAUGAGAAUCAUGUGAUUGCUGAUCGACUAUGCAGCUUGUUUAGGCAUCAGCGUCUCUACUGCUAUCUGGGAUUGGAGGAAAGGCAGCUCGAAAAACUAAAGCACUAAUGAAGCAACAAGUGGAAGUCCAAUUCAGAAAGAAGUAGUUUGUUCUAUAUACUAGAUUGGACAAUGUUUUUCCGCUGGAAGUCUAUUGCUGAAUCUUAAAUCAAGAGGAAGCUAUCUAACUUUCUUCUUAAGGAGCCGGGAAGUUUCGCCAAGCCACUACAGUGGGCAAGAGAUCAGCUAAUUCAUUUGAGCCGGGGAGGCGACGGCGGCGGGGAGCAGCGGCACAUCGGCGGACAGCAACACAUGUGUAGCACACAGCGGCAGCGGCUGCACGGCCACGACGGACAAGCAACAACGCGAAGCAGGGGCAGGUGGUGGUAAGAAUAAGUAUCACUUGUCAUGUUUAACUCAUGGCCAACAAAGAGUAAGUAUCACUUGAAACUCACUACAUGAAGAAUACUGCUGUGACGAUUAUAUACAUAUAUGUUCCACUUGGUUGCUCAGGUAGUAUUAAUUUCUAAUUUCUUAUCACUUCCUUUUUCUUGCAGUCAAGUUUUGAAACUGGGCUUUGAUGAGAAGUUCAUUCGUAUAUGGGAAUUCUAUCUUGUAUACUCUGCCUCUGGUUUGAAGUCAUGAGUAGCUAGAGAUUACCUGGCGGGGCCUGCUAUGACUCCCAAUGGGUGGUAUUACUGCAACUGUCGAUCCUUCAAAUUUUGACGAUAACAAGUAGCCUGAAUCCAAGAAGAAAACUAAUUCAAUUCUCCCAAGACUGCUAAUUUUUGGGUUUCUUUGUUCCAACUUUGCAUUGACACCACUUGGACAAUGUUUGUGUUCCUUUGCUUUUCAUCAUGAAAACAAACAUUCUGAAAUCUUCAUAGGAUAUUUGAUUUCAUUUUUACUAUACAAUAGAGUAAAUAGGCUACGUCCUUACAUUCUCCGCGGAGAAGUUAUCCAGCCAGUCGGUUGCCAUUGAUUUGUGACAUUUUUUUAUACAGUUGUGA